rnacentral:rRNA from 1 species
GACGAACGCUGGCGGCGUGCUUAACACAUGCAAGUCGAACGGUGAUCUUGAGAGCUUGCUCUUGGGUGAUCAGUGGCGAACGGGUGAGUAACACGUGAGUAACCUGCCCCUGACUCUGGAAUAACUUCGGGAAACCGAAGCUAAUACCGGAUAUGACACAGAGCCGCAUGGUUUCUGUGUGGAAAGUUUUUCGGUUGGGGAUGGACUCGCGGCCUAUCAGCUUGUUGGUGAGGUAAUGGCUCACCAAGGCGACGACGGGUAGCCGGCCUGAGAGGGCGACCGGCCACACUGGGACUGAGACACGGCCCAGACUCCUACGGGAGGCAGCAGUGGGGAAUAUUGCACAAUGGGCGAAAGCCUGAUGCAGCGACGCCGCGUGAGGGAUGAAGGCCUUCGGGUCGUAAAGCACUUUUGGAAGGAAUAGGAAGGAAUGUACUUCCAGAAUAAGUCUCGGCUAACUACGUG